rnacentral:rRNA from 1 species
UACGUAGGGGGCAAGCGUUGUCCGGAUUUAUUGGGCGUAAAGAGCUCGUAGGCGGCUUGGCAAGUCGGGUGUGAAAACUUCAGGCUCAACCUGGAGCGGCCACGUCGAUACUGCUAUGGGCUUGAGUCCGGUAGGGGACCACGGGAAUUCCUGGUGUAGCGGUGAAAUGCGCAGAUAUCAGGAGGAACACCAGUGGCGAAGGCGGUGGUCUGGGCCGGAACUGACGCUGAGGAGCGAAAGCGUGGGGAGCGAACAGG